GGAGGGGUGGCCGAGCGGCUUAAGGCAACGGUUUGCUAAACCGUCGUAGGGGCAACUCUACCGGAGGUUCAAAUCCUCUCCCCUCCGCCA
rnacentral:tRNA from 1 species